UGGGGAAUAUUGCACAAUGGGCGCAAGCCUGAUGCAGCCAUGCCGCGUGUAUGAAGAAGGCCUUCGGGUUGUAAAGUAUUUUCAGCGGGGAGGAACUGAGUAAAGUUAAUACCUUUGCUCCUUGUCGUUACCCGCAGAAGAAGCAUCGGCUAACUCCGUGGCAGCAGCCGCGGUAAUAGGGAGGGUGCAAGCGUUAAUCGGAAUUACUGGGCGUAAAGCGGACGCAGGCGGUUUGUUAACUCAGUUGUGAAAUCCCCGGGCUCAACCUGGGAACUGCAUCUGAUACUGGCAGGCUUGAGUCUCGUAGAGGGGGGUAGAAUUCCAGGUGUAGCAGUGAAAUGCGUAGAGAUCUGGAAGAAUACCGGUGGCGAAGGCGGCCCCCUGGACGAAGACUGACGGUCAAGUGCGAAAGCGUGGGGAGCAAACAGG
rnacentral:rRNA from 1 species